rnacentral:rRNA from 1 species
UACGUAGGGGGCUAGCGUUGUCCGGAAUCAUUGGGCGUAAAGCGCGUGUAGGCGGUCCGGUAAGUCCGCUGUGAAAGUCGAGGGCUCAACCCUCGAAUGCCGGUGGAUACUGUCGGGCUAGAGUACGGAAGAGGCGGAGUGGAAUUCCUGGUGUAGCGGUGAAAUGCGCAGAUAUCAGGAGGAACACCAAUGCGAAGGCAGCUCGCUGGGACGUUACUGACGCUGAGACGCGAAAGCGUGGGGAGCAAACAGG